CCUACGGGGGGCUGCAGUGGGGGAUAUUGCACAAUGGAGGAAACUCUGAUGCAGCAACGCCGCGUGAGGGAAGAAGGUCUUCGGAUUGUAAACCUCUGUCCUCAGGGACGAUAAUGACGGUACCUGAGGAGGAAGCUCCGGCUAACUACGUGCCAGCAGCCGCGGUAAUACGUAGGGAGCAAGCGUUGUCCGGAUUUACUGGGUGUAAAGGGUGCGUAGGCGGCCCUGCAAGUCAGGUGUGAAAACUAUGGGCUUAACUCAUAGAUUGCACUUGAAACUGUGGGGCUUGAGUGAAGUAGAGGCAGGCGGAAUUCCCGGUGUAGCGGUGAAAUGCGUAGAGAUCGGGAAGAACACCAGUGGCGAAGGCGGCCUGCUGGGCUUUAACUGACGCUGAGGCACGAAAGCGUGGGUAGCAAACAGGAUUAGAUACCCUUGUAGUC
rnacentral:rRNA from 1 species